GACGAACGCUGGCGGCAUGCUUAACACAUGCAAGUCGAACGAAACCUUCGGGUCUAGGUGCGCACGUGUGCGUAACGCGUGGGAACCAGCCCUUAGGUACGGUAUAACUCCCCGAGAGGGGUCCUAAUACAGGUUAAUGUAUUCGGACCUAAGAUGUAUCGCCUUUGGAUGGGCGCGCGUUGGAUUCGCUGGUUGGUAGUGUAAUAGCAUACCAAGGCGACGAUCCAUAGCUGGUCUGAGAGGAUGAUCAGCCGCACUGGGACUGAGGCACGGCCCAGAAUCGGAGGGGAGGGAGGAGUGGGGAAUAUUAGAGGAGGGGCGAAAGCCUAACAAAGCAGUGCGGCGGGAGUGAUGAAGGCCUUAGGGUUGUAAAGCUCUUUGAGCCGGGAUGAUAAUGACAGUAACGGGAGAAUAAGCUCCGGCUAACUACGUG
rnacentral:rRNA from 1 species